ACCAGGCAGUCCUGGGGACAGGAGCCCACCGAGGGGAGACAGCGCUGCCAUCCCUGCUCUGUGCCCAGUGAUCUUGGGGUCACCACAACCCCAUGGCGCCUUGAGGCCUCGCCUUUCCUGGGCUCUCAGCAUCCUGGGACACUGAUGGUCAUGCCUUCCUUCUAGAAAGUUCUCCCCGAGGCUGUGGCUUCCAGGGUGAGCACUCUCCUCCUCCCACUUCCUCCCCUUCUCCUUCCCCCUCCUCCCUUCUCCCUGGAGAGGUCUUCCUCCAAGUCCCAGUCUUCCCCACCCAGAGCCCCUCCUGCUGACACUUGUCUGCCGUGCCUGUCUCGGCUCCCACUAGGAAGCCUCGCCUCCGGCAUCUCCAGUCCAUCUCCGGGUCCUGCUCCACCUGCAUUUCCCUAAACCUGUCCUGGCUACCCUCGCCCUGGGACAGCUCCUGCCCGUGGAGAGCUCCUUUGAUAGGUGCCGUCCUUGGUCUUGGGGAUCGUUUCUCCCUAAUUCUACUUCUGUUUUAGGGGGCGUGGGAACCCAGGGUCCUAACCCCAGCCAUUCCCCCUCCCAGGGGCCACUUCUCUCUGAAGCUUAGCCCAGCUCUGUGACCCCCACAGGCCUGCCCCCACCUGGUCCUCACUCCCCUGCAUAGCCACACUGUGGGGGCUCCAUGCUUCCCAGCCCAUAGGAAGCCCUGUUCCUGGAGGGGGCCAUUCUGUUUUAGUUGGAGCAGUGGCCAGAGGCAAAGGUCAGAAGGCAAAGGUCAUAGAAGUUUGUCUCUCCCUGCCAGCAUCUGCCCCUGCUAUGCUCUCCAGAGGCAUACCCUCUCAGUUCCUGCCCCAAACCCUCUCCACCCAAACCCUCCCUCAGCUCCUGCCCCCACCUCUCCAGAGGCACAGACAACAUGGUUCUGAUCUUGGGUCAUGGUGCUCCCCCCGCCAGCCUCAGUCUGAGACUUCUGUGAAUGGGAGUGAUGGCUAAUGGGAUGAGGGGGACCACCUCCUGGUGGCUGCAGGGACUGGGGUGAGGGUGCUGCAGGCUCUGCCUUAGUCAAGUGCCACGGAGCUGAAGAGACGGCGCCCCGGCCCUGGAGAAGAGUCCUCCCUGCCCUGCUGUGUCUGGCCUUGUUUCCCGGAGGACAGGUACCCACGGGGCAGAGGCCCAGCAGUCCCAGGUAAGCGCUGGGUGGCUGGAGUCUGGUAUCUGCAGGAAGAGAAGUAGAAGAAUAAAUUUGGAGUGUGUGAAGGGGGCAAAGCCUGAAAGGUUCGGACUCAGUAUGGGGAGGGAGAGGGAACAGAUGGGGUGGGGCCCCUCCCCUGGGCUGGGUGACCCUUAUUUAUAUGACUGAAUCCAUGACAAGAUUGUUUGCUUGACCAAACUGUAGUCUGGCUUCAGAACCUUCUCGCAGGCUCAUCUGCAUUCUGCCUUGUAAAAUCCAGAUUUAGCAAGUACUCUGCUAAGUCAGUUUGGCAAGAAGCCUCCAUCCCCCCAUAUCUGAUCAGCCUCCGCCACCCCCAGGCAGUGUCUGCUCACCUUGCCUGCCUUCAGCAAGAUUCCUGUUACCUGGGUAGGGUCCUCAGUUUCCGCCACCCCCAGGCAAUGUCUGCUCACCCUGGCUGCCUUCAGCAAGCUUCCUUUUACCUUGGUAGGUUCCUUAGCCUCCGCCACCUCCAGGCGAUGUCUGCUAACCCUGCCUGACUUCAGCAAGCUUCCUUUUACCUGGGUAGGGUUCUCAGCCUCUGCCACCCCCAGGUGAUGUCUGCUAACCCUGCCUGCCCUCAGCAAACUUCCUGUUUCCUGGGUUUAGCCAGAAUCCUCCAAACAGGUGUUUCGUCCCAGUAAUUUUCCACCCACUGACCCCGCCCUGCUCCUCAGAUCUAAAUCCCAAUGCCCGUGCCACAUUCAGAGUUGAGCCCAGGUCUAUACUAAAAUCUUUUUUCCCCUAUUACAAUAGUCCUGAACAAAAUAUGUGUUUCAACUGCUAUCCAGUUCUGGUUUCCCUUGACAUUGACGGCACCUGCAGAACUUAAUUUCGGUGUCCGGCAAGACUUAUGGAGCCCAUACUGCCUGCAAGACUCGGUGCCUGCCAGCGAGACUCAGAAGCCCCACCCUGGAGUUCUGCAAGGGGCUGAUGAGGAGGAGGGACGAAAGGGGCAGCCGGAAGCCUGGGUGGAGGGACCAGGGGUGGGAGGGGAGGCUGCAUCUGGGCCCAGAAAAACGUGGAAACGCAGGAAGGGAAACAGGAGGGUGGUGGGACUGCCCCUCGGAGAGAACUUCUGUGAGCAUUAAAGGGUAUUUUUUUUCC